rnacentral:misc_RNA from 1 species
UAGUCGUAACAAGGUUUCCGUAGGUGAACCUGCGGAAGGAUCAUUACCGAGUUAGGGUCUCCUUCGUGAGGCCCGACCUCCCAACCCUGUGUCUAACAAACCUGUAUGUGUUGCUUCGGCGGAACGGCAGUCACCCUCCCGGGGGAGACCGUCGCCGGGGGCGGUCCAGCCCUUGGAGGAGCGUCCGCCGAUGGCCCAACCAAACAAAGCUCCCAAACCAAAUAAUAGUACCUAAAAUCUUCUGAAUCAGACUUUUGAUAUACCAAUUCAAAAAUCAAAAU